rnacentral:tRNA from 1 species
GGAGAGAUGUCCGAGAGGUUUAAGGUGGUAGUCUCGAAAACUAUUGCGCAGUUUAGGCUGUGCCGAGGGUUCGAAUCCCUCUCUCUCCGCCA